GAUGAACGCUAGCGGCAGGCCUAACACAUGCAAGUCGAGGGGUAGAGUUCUUCGGGACUUGAGACCGGCGCACGGGUGCGUAACGCGUAUGCAAUCUACCUUUUACAGGGGAAUAGCCCAGAGAAAUUUGGAUUAAUGCCCCAUAGUAUGUGAGAAUCGCAUGGUUUUCACAUUAAAGUUCCAACGGUAAAAGAUGAGCAUGCGUCCCAUUAGCUAGAUGGUAAGGUAACGGCUUACCAUGGCGACGAUGGGUAGGGGUCCUGAGAGGGAGAUCCCCCACACUGGUACUGAGACACGGACCAGACUCGUGAUGCU
rnacentral:rRNA from 1 species